AGCAUGGCUGUCCUGGUGCUGCUCCUCUGCCUGCUCACAUUUCCAAGCUGUGUCCUGUCCCAGAUGCAGAUGAAGGAGUCAGGACCUGACCUGGUGCAGCCCUCACAGAAAUUGUCCCUCACCUGCACAGUCUCUGGGUUCUCAUUAACUGACUGUAGUGUACAGUGGGUUCGCCAGCCCCCAGGAAAGGCUUUGGAGUGGAUGGGUGCUAUAUGGAGUGAUGGAAGUACAGAUUAUAGUUCAGCUCUCAAAACCAGAUUAAGCAUCACCAGGGACACCCCAAAGAGCCAGGUUUUCUUAAAAAUGAACAAUAUGCAAACUGAAGACACAGCCACCUACGACUAUGGCAAAAACACAGUGAAGGAAGUCUAG